UACAGAGGGGGCAAGCGUUGUUCGGAAUUACUGGGCGUAAAGGGUGCGUAGGCGGCCCGUUAAGUCAGUGGUGAAAGCCUCCAGCUCAACUGGAGAACUGCCAUUGAUACUGGCGGGCUUGAGUACAGACGAGGUAGGCGGAAUUGAUUGUGUAGCGGUGAAAUGCAUAGAUACAAUCAAGAACACCGAUUGCGUAGGCAGCUUACUAGGCUGUAACUGACGCUGAGGCACGAAAGCGUGGGGAGCGAACAGG
rnacentral:rRNA from 1 species